rnacentral:rRNA from 1 species
AUUGAACGCUGGCGGCAUGCCUUACACAUGCAAGUCGAACGGCAGCACGGGGCAACCUGGUGGCGAGUGGCGAACGGGUGAGUAAUGCAUCGGAACGUACCUUUCAGUGGGGGAUAACGUAGCGAAAGUUACGCUAAUACCGCAUAUUCUGUGAGCAGGAAAGCAGGGGAUCGCAAGACCUUGCGCUGAUUGAGCGGCCGAUGUCAGAUUAGCUAGUUGGUGAGGUAAAGGCUCACCAAGGCGACGAUCUGUAGCGGGUCUGAGAGGAUGAUCCGCCUCACUGGAACUGAGACACGGUCCAGACUCCUACGGGAGACAGCAGUGGGGAAUUUUGGACAAUGGGGGCAACCCUGAUCCAGCCAUGCCGCGUGAGUGAAGAAGGCCUUCGGGUUGUAAAGCUCUUUCGGCCGGGAAGAAAUCGCACGGGCUAAUACCCUGUGUGGAUGACGGUACCGGAAUAAGAAGCACCGGCUAACUACGUGCCAGCCGCCGCAGUAACAC